rnacentral:lncRNA from 1 species
GAAAUAAUACAUAAAUUAUGAUGUAACUUGUACAUUGGCAUGUCUUCUUUUAGUUUUUUUUCCUUUUAAUGGUGGUAUUAGUACCAUGUGGUGCUCAUUCCAUUGGGGGAAGGAAGACUAACAAAGAUAUGCCAUUUUGGUCAAUAAAUAUGCUCUGUAUCAUAUCCUUGAAUAUCUUUUAUCUCAAUAUUUCUUUGUUUAUACUUCUAUAUCAAUCCUUGAAUAUUUAUAUAACAUACAAUAUAUAACAU